CCCCUGUCCCCUCUGCCUUUGUCUACCAUGUGCCCCCAGGAGGAGCCUCAGGAGCAUUGCCCUGAGCUUGCUUUAUAUUGAAGCCACCUCCUGUAUGGCAUUUAGUGAAUCCCCUGCCUCCUGGCUCCAUCUUGAAGUGCCCAUCCUCCUUCAGCAUCCCUUUGCCAAUUCCUGGGCCUCUUCUCUUCAGGGACAUAUUUGUGUUUUCUGGGAACAUCCCAGUGCACAGACCUACCUCAUGGACCAUUGACGUCCUUGGGUUUGAUUAGGAGGGCUUGCUGGGGACAGGGGAGCAUGUAGCAGGUGCACCAGGUUGUGUUUCUGUCUCUGUCCUUUACCCUCACUGCAGGUUCAGAUGGACUAGGACAUGCAGUACAUUAUCAGCCAGGUCCUGCAAAUGUAGCUGCUGCAGGUGAAGGGCUGCUGAGGACACAGCUCAGCUGUUCAGCAUCGGACCUUCAUCUCUGCAAGCUGAAGCCAUAGGGACCACCUUUCUAAGUAUCAAGGUCUUCACCCUGGACUCUCCCUUUUGGGAUCCUGAUUGCUGGCGUUUCAGGUUGUAGGCCAAGUUGGUUUAAUCUUUCGAUGCUC
rnacentral:lncRNA from 1 species